rnacentral:rRNA from 1 species
AUUAAACGCUGGCGGCAUGCCUUACACAUGCAAGUCGAACGGUAGCGCGGGGCAACCUGGCGACGAGUGGCGAACGGGUGAGUAAAGCAUCGGAACGUGCCCUGGAAUGGGGGAUAACGUAGCGAAAGUUACGCUAAUACCGCAUAUUCUGUGAGCAGGAAAGCAGGGAAUCGCAAGACCUUGCGUUCUGGGAGCGGCCGAUGUCGGAUUAGCUAGUUGGUGGGGUAAAAGCCUACCAAGGCGACGAUCCGUAGCGGGUCUGAGAGGAUGAUCCGCCACACUGGGACUGAGACACGGCCCAGACUCCUACGGGAGGCAGCAGUGGGGAAUUUUGGACAAUGGGCGGAAGCCUGAUCCAGCCAUGCCGCGUGAGUGAAGAAGGCCUUGGUGUAAGCGUCUGUCGCAGGGGAAGUAAGCAAGUGAAUGUA